rnacentral:snRNA from 1 species
AUACUUACCUGGCAGGGAAGAUACCAGGAUCACGAAGGUGGUUUUCCCAGGGCGAGGCUUAUCCAUUGCACUCCAGAUGUGCUGACCCUUGCGAUUUCCCCAAAUGUGGGAAACUCAACUGCAUAAUUUGUGGUAGUGGGGAACUGCUUUAGAACUCUCCUCUG